GACGAACGCUGGCGGCGGGCUUAACACAUGCAAGUCGAACGGAAAGGCCCUACUUUUGUGGGGUGCUCGAGUGGCGAACGGGUGAGGAACACGUGAGUAACCUGCCCUUGACUUUGGGAUAACUUCAGGAAACUGGGGCUAAUACCGUAUAGCAGCUCCUGCUGCAUGGAGGGGGUUGGAAAGUUUCGGCGGGUGGGGAUGGACGCGCGGCUUAUCAGCUUGUUGGUGGGGGAGUGGCUUACCAAGGCUGUGACGGGUAGCCGGCCUGAGAGGGUGACCGGCCACAUUGGGACUGAGAUACGGCACAGAGUCCUACGGGAGGCAGCAGUGGGGAAUAUUGCACAAUGGGCGGAAGUCUGAUGCAGCAACGCCGCGUGCGGGAUGACGGCCUUCGGGUUGUAAACCGCUUUAGCCUGUGACGAAGCGUGAGUGACGGUAAUGGGUAAAGAAGCACCGGCUAACUACGUG
rnacentral:rRNA from 1 species